rnacentral:rRNA from 1 species
GAUGAACGCUGGCGGCGUGCCUAAUACAUGCAAGUCGAGCGAACAGACGAUGAUCUUGCUCCUCGGACGUUAGCGGCGGACGUGUGUGUAACACGUGUAUAACCUACCUGUAAUUCUGGUAUAACUUCGGAAAACCGGCGCUAAUACCGUAUAAUAUAUUGCACCGCAUUGUUCAAUAGUGAAUUACGGUGUUUCUGUCUCUUAUAGAUGGAUCCGCGCGUCAUUAGCUGGUUGUUGAGGUAACAGCUUACCAAGGAAACGAUGCGUAGCCGACCUGAGAGGGUGAUAGGCCACACUGGAAGUGAGACACGGUCCAGACUCCUAAGGGAGGCAGCAGUAGGGAAUCUUCCGCAAUGGGCGAAAGCCUGACGGAGCAACGCCGAGUGAGUGACGAAGGUGUUCGGAUCGUAAAACUCUGUUAUGAGGGAAGAACAAAUGUGUAAGUAAAUAUGCACGUAUUGACGGUAACUAAUAAGAAAGCCACGGCUAACUACGUG